AUUGAACGCUGGCGGCAUGCCUAACACAUGCAAGUCGAGCGGAUUCAGGCAGCUUGCUCCUGGCUUCUGCGGCAGACGGGUGAGUAAUGCCUAGGAAUCUGCCUGCUAGUGGGGGAUCACGUCCGGAAACGGGCGCUAAUCCCUCAUACUUCCUGAGUGAGAACGUGGGGGAUUUUCGGACCUCACGCUAUCAGCUGAGCCUAUGUCGGAUUAGCUAUUUGGUGGGGUAAAGGCCUACCAAGUCGACGAUCCGUACCUGGUCUGAGAGGAUGAUCAGUCACACUGGAACUGAGACACGGUCCAGACUCAUACGGGAGGCAGCAGUGGGGAAUAUUGGACAAUGGGCGAAAGCCUGAUCCAGCAAUGCCGCGUGGAGGAAGAAGGGCUUCGGAUUGUAAAGCACUUUAAGAUGGGAGGAAGGGGAGUAAGUUAAUACCUGGCGGUAUUGACGGUACCAAAAGAAUAAGCACCGGCUAACUACGUG
rnacentral:rRNA from 1 species